rnacentral:rRNA from 1 species
UUAAAUAAAUAUUGAAUUUGACUUUUAAGUGAAAAGGCUUAAAUAAAUUAAAAAGACGAUAAGACCCUAUAAAUCUUUACAAAAGGUGUGUUUUAAGUUUUAGUUUAAAUGUAAUAAAGUAUAAAACAUGAUUUUGUUGCGCUGGGGCGGCGUAGAUAUAUAAGAAAACUGUUUAUAAAAUGUAAACAAUUAUUAUUGAUUAGAUGAAAUUGAUCCUUAUUUAGAUUAAAAGAUUAAGAUACUUUAGGGAUAACAGCGUUAUUUUUUCUGAGAGUUCUUAUCGAAGAAAAAGAUUGCGACCUCGAUGUUGAAUUAAAGUUUCUUUAAGGUGUAGUGGCUUAAAAGAGAGUCUGUUCGACU